ensembl:rRNA 5S_rRNA 5S ribosomal RNA
GCCGGCAACUAGCUCUCUGCAACUCUCACAUGGUCGCACGCUGAAGCUAAGCAGGGCUGCGCCCGGUUAGUACCUGGAUGGGAGAACACAUGGGGAAGCUAUAGGUUGCUGCUGGAA